rnacentral:RNase_P_RNA from 3 species
GGAGUGGUCCGGGUGAACGCCGGCCACCGCAGUCACGGGUGGCGGGAGGAAAGUCCGGGCUCCAUAGGGCAGGGUGCUGGCUAACAGCCAGUCGAGGCGACUCGCAGGAAAGUGCCACAGAAAACAGACCGCCUGUUCCCGCAAGGGGGCGGGUAAGGGUGAAACGGUGCGGUAAGAGCGCACCGCGUCUGGGGUGACUCAGACGGCACGGUAAACCCCACCUGGAGCAAGAGCCAAUAGGAGCGCGUCCCCGCUGUCCGGGGGACAGGGAUUGCCCGUCCCAUGCGUUCGGGUUGCUCGCUGAUGAGGCCCCUGGGUAACCAGGGCCCUAGAUGAAUGUUCAUCGCCCGUUCCGAAAGGGGCGGGGACAGAACUCGGCUUACAGGGCCACUCCGGCG